rnacentral:tRNA from 1 species
GGGGGUGUCGCAUAGCGGCAAUUGCAAGGGACUGUAAAUACCUCACCUUCGGGUUUCGCUGGUUCGAGUCCAGCCGCCCCCA